rnacentral:rRNA from 1 species
AACGAACGCUGGCGGCAUGCCUAACACAUGCAAGUCGAACGAGACCUUCGGGUCUAGUGGCGCACGGGUGCGUAACGCGUGGGAACCUGCCCUUAGGUUCGGAAUAACUCACCGAAAGGGGUGCUAAUACCGGGUAAUGUCUUCGGACCAACGAUUUAUCGCCUUUGGAUGGGCCCGCGUUGGAUUAGCUAGUUGGUAGGGUAAAAGCCUACCAAGGCGACGAUCCAUAGCUAGUCUGAGAGGAUGAUCAGCCACACUGGGACUGAGACACGGCCCAGACUCCUACGGGAGGCAGCAGUGGGGAAUAUUGGACAAUGGGCGAAAGCCUGAUCCAGCAAUGCCGCGUGAGUGAUGAAGGCCUUAGGGUUGUAAAGCUCUUUUACCCGGGAUGAUAAUGACAGUACCGGGAGAAUAAGCUCCGGCUAACUCCGUG